GUGACUAUCAGUGUCAUAAUUUAUAUAUACAUAAUUUAUAUAUUAGUAUACAUGACACGAUGCGUAAUCGGAUUGUUUGGUGUGAUCCCUUGUGUUGAGCAUAUCUUUUAUUAUAUCAGAGUGCUGUGUCCCUUUAAGACCAACAGUCUCCAUGACAUUCUGCGCUCGCGCUGCCUGUGUGCGAGUCUGCACCGUGGUAUUGCUCAGCGUCAUUAAUAAAAAAAAAAAAAAUUUAAUUAAUUUAAAAAAAAACCACGUAAAAUGUGUAUUAACUGAACGUAUUCAGUGAGAAGUGCUUCUGUCUGCUACAUGUACGAUUCAGACGUGUGUUUAUUCCAGCAAACACAGCGCGAGCUCCACCACAGAAACAAAAAGUGCCCGGUAUUAGGGUUGUGUUUUUAACUCCUCCCCUCACCCACUACAAACGUUCCGAAGCAAUUGAAGGCACCUGUGCAAAGGACAGCAAUGUGAUACUGAGUCGACUCAGUGUUUCACUCUGGAGUUCUCUUUUCUAUUGUUUUGUUUUUGUUUUUUUGAGGUAAUAUUUCGAGUUUAUACUUAAUUUGGGUUUUUUUUUCCUUCCCAGUGUAUGAUUUAUUUCGUUAUUUAUGUAACUGAACACGCAGGAAGGAAUGUGUCAUGACAGCUGGCGCCACCUUCUAGAUCCGCACUACCAGGAGACGGUUCAGGAUACUGGAGGUUUGUGUGAGACUUUCUAUUAAAUCCUUCUUUUCUUUCUUGAGUAACUUUUUUUUUUUUUUUUUUUAAACCAGGGGAUUUCCCAUCAGGAUUUGGUAGUGUUGUAGAUUACAGAGCAAAGUUUACUUUAUCAGGUGUCAAGGUCAGAGCAAAACAACUUUAUGUACGAAGUGAGGACAGUAGUUGUAUUGUCUUUGGUUUUAACAGAGUGCCUGGUGAUGAUUGAUUACAUGAGGGGGAGUAAUUUAACUAGAUAUAAAUGGAAAAAUCCAUAGCGCAUGCACGUGUUGGACCAAAAGCUUAAAAUGAAUAAAUAAAUAACAAGGAUUAUUUUUUUCUGGUUUGUAAUGUGGGCUGUAAAUGAUUUAAAAUAUGGAACCCGUGAUUGUGACAUGAUUAUGAAUUAAUCUCUGUUGAAACGGUUAUUAAACAGAUCAAAUGUAGAUCAAAGCGACAAAUGGUGAUAGACAAGCAAAAUAUAGCCACCCAUGGACUCUGUUAAAAAUGUAAAUUUUUAAUAACCUGUAAAUAUACAUACAGUAUCUCACAAAAGUGAGUACACCCCUCCCGAUUUUUGUAGAUAUUUGAUUAUAUCUUUUCAUGUGACAACACUGAAGAAAUGACACUUUGCUACAAUGUAAAGUAGUGAGUGUACAGCUUGUGUAACAGUCUAAAUUUGCUGUCCCCUUAAAAUAACUCAACACACAGACAUUAAUGCCUAAACCGUUGGCAACAAAAGUGAGUACACCCCUAAGUGAAAAUGUCCAAAUUGGGCCCAAUUAGCCAUUUUCCCUCCCCGGUGUUAUGUGACUUGUUAGUGUUACAAGGUCUCAGGUGUAAAUGGGGAGCAGGUGUGUUAAAUUUGGUGUCAUCCCUCUCAUACUGGUCACUGGAAGUUCAACAUGGCACCUCAUGGUGAAGAACCUCUCUGAGGAUCUGGGGGGGAAAAAAUAAUUGUUGCUGUACAUAAAGAUGGCCUAGGCUAUAAGAAGAUUGACAGGGGAUUUGCUGUCCCCUCAAAAUAACUGUAUAUUUGUAUAAUGUGAGAUUGGUUUUAUGAGAUGUUUGAUGUAAAUGAUAUAAACGUGCAAGAUGUAUGUAAUGUGAAGUAAAUCUUUUAAAUAAAGGUUGAUUUGAUUAAUGGAAAUAAUUUAACAGCAAAGUGUUGAGUAGAUCAAAAUGAUCAGACUACUUUUAUUCUGCUAAAUUGUUAUAAAUAGCACACCUGGCUCUACUAUUUAUAACCUGUUGUUUGUAUUCUUCUGAAUUCAACAGAACAAUGAGGUUUUUCCAGCUUCGGUUGACGGUGUGGUUGUAUACCAUUGUGCGUAAGUGACUGCUGUUUCUAUUUUUGGAAAGCAGAAUAUGUGUCAUGCAAUUAACUUUGACUUAAUGCUAGGUUGGUUGCUCGUUAUAUUCUAGCGCAGGGCCUUAAACUGGUUACUCAUUACACGAACGUGAUAAUUGAAACAAACUGCAACAACAUUCUGUGUGUACUCCCUUUCUAGGCCUGCACAUGUCUGUGAGUAUAAGUGUGACGUUUCCAAACAAGGAGCCUUUAAACAUAGCACUGGGCAGGACUCUGGUUCUGGAAGCUCAGUAUCAACUCCAGCAAGGGGAUAAGAUUAUAUUAAGAACAUGGGAACGUAAGAACAGCGACGGGGAAGUCAGAGUGGCAGAUGGCGACGAAGCACAUAACAACAGGACAUUUGUGGAGAAGAACGGAGCUCUGUUACGGAUAAACGGAGUCACAGACAGCGAUUACGGACUCUAUAAAUUUACAGUCACAGUUGCCAGCGGAGACCAAGUGUCGGAUUCUCGUAACGUGCUAAAAAUAAGUAAGUGACCUAUGAUGAACAGUUAGGGUUGAGCAGUUACACACAUCAUUGUAUUUCACAUACGCCUUCUUAAGUUCUGACUGUGUGUUCUGGAUGUUUCUGAAAAGUAUCGGAGUAAAUGGAGGUCAAAUCGUAGGAGCGUUUCACUUGACACGGAUGUCACUGUUAGGGUGUAUGAAUCCACAGUCUGGGCGAGAAAGAAAUCAGCCCCGCUUCUUCAUACCAUUCUUUGUGGUUUACUUGCAGGCAUUGGUGGUGCUUGGUUCCCAAAAGUCCAAAAUAAUCCAUUUAAGGUAUUGGCUAACAAAUAGUCUAAUUUGGAGGCCAAAAAUGAUGCCCUUAAAUGUUGGACUGAUGCCUAGUCCUGCUUUUUAUCUUUGAACUACAGAGUGGGCACAAACCUGCUUUUUAUCUUUGAACUAAAGCGUGGGCGUAGCCCUGCUGGCUCUGUUCUGUUAUUUAAUCUAUGUCAGUCGUUGAGAAAGAGCACCUUAUUUGCCUUAUGUAAAUGCCUGAAAAAUCUACCCAGUCAGCAAGGUAAGAGCACGAAGUAAGAUCUGGCUGCUUGUAGGGAUGAAACGAUUACCGGUUUCCCAAUAAACCACGAUAAAAUUCCCCGACGGUUAGUAUUACCGUGUCACAUUUAAUGAUCAUUAAAACCGUGAGCCGAAUGAGUCAGUCAGCACAGAGCAGCAGGAGUCGGAUUUCAUUAAUCACGUGAUGAAAGUGAGGCGAGCUGACUGACAAUACGAUGGCGGCAGAUUUGGUUUAAAUAUAAGCGAGUUUGUCAUUGUACUGUUUUGUUGUUGUUGUGUUUUUCAUUAAGAAUAAUAGUGAACCCACCAUUGCAGCAAUUACUGCCCCCGCUAAUUCAAAAGUGAAAUGUGCGUAGCCGCACGGGCAUUCGUAAGCGAAGGGGAAAAGAGGGAAAAGCGACAAAGCCCCCUUUCGCAACAACUUUCUUCUGGCAAGCUCUGCAGACAGGGUUUCCAUCUUCUAUUAAGUUUCCCUCAGCGUUCUUAUAAGAUCCAAAAUAUGACCACUCUUCGGAUUUGGUCCUCUUGGAAGGUUGGAGAUUCUCCCGAGUGCCGUUGCUGCCUUCCGCCACGUUCUCUAACUGAACAAAACGAUUGCGGCAAGCCUAGUGACAACCAUCCAUCACUUUAUAGUCAAAUAUACGACCUGUUUAAAUGAUUUCAGUGUGUGCAUCAGUGCUCUUUGUACAUUUUCAGCACAUUUUAACAAUACCGUGAUAAUACUCAUGACCGUGAUAGUUUUGGUCGCGAUAAUCGUGAUAAGAAAAUUUUCAUGCCGUCACAUCUCUACCUUGCUGUUAAAGGAGAAAGGCAUCAAAAAGAUGAAGUUGCUUGGUGCGACACAUUACAGGCCACUCCAUAACAAGACAACACAUUCAACCCCUUUUUUUAUGAUGUUUUCUUUAAUACCCAUUGUUCUUUCUCCAUGUACACAGCAAAUCCUCCAAAAGCUUCUCUUUCCAUGAAAUGUAGCACCCCGAGUGUGGGGGCACAGUGGGACAGUCCUGUGUUUUCAUGGCAAGUCGAUGGAGUCAGCAUCACCAAUCAGACUGGUGAGAUAUCCGCAGAUGGCAGCACGCUCCUCUUGAGAAAUCUGGGCCAAAACUACACCUGCGUUACGGACAGCAGCCAGGGGUUGAGCAAAGUCCAAGUGAGCAGUAAAGGUACAAUCUUAAACACUCUGAGCUGGUAUUUGUUUUUCUUGGACACACCCUGUGUUUUGAAACUGCUUGUUGACACCCCUCCAUUUUCCCUGUGGUUGAAUCCAUGGUGACCGUUUUAAAAAAAAACUUGUUAAUGAGCCCGAGGGAUCUAACUACAGAUCCUGAGGGAGAAUGCACCGCGAUCUCUGACCUGAUUUGCUUUGCAAAAAUCCCAGACACAAGUGGAUUUAGCGUGCGAGUUCUAAAGCUGAAGUCAUUAGAUUCAAUCCAUCACUGGAAUUGUUCAGAAAGAAAAUGAUGUACAGUGCAAAAGUUUGAGGCACAUGCAAAGAUGUCUUCAAAAUAAUGAAAUGGAAUGUUUCUACAUUAAAAGAAAUACCGUAAAGAGCAGUAAACGGUAGUAAAUGAAACAAAGUCGAUAUUUAGUGUGACAGAAAAAAUACAAAUAGUAGUCUCCUGUACAAUUUGUACAGUUUUAUAAGGGAAUUAGCUGGUAGGUUUUAAUGAGUACAUGUAAUAUGCAGCUUUCUUUAAUGACAAACAUUUUUCUGUAACAUUUUCAUUUUGUGCUAGAAAACUAAUGUUUGCGAAUCUAAAAUGUAAAAAAAAAAUAAAAAUCUAGAACAGUUUGUACUAAAACAAUAGGGUGACUAAAAGUUUUGCACAGUACUGUAUGUUGGACUUGGUACUGUGCAAAAGUCAUGUGCAACUGGACCAUAACUAUAAGACCAAAGUAGAUGAAUAAGUAAGCUUUAGCAAUUCAGUGAAAUUAAUUAUUACCCACAUUACUGCCUCAUAACUCAAGACUCCUGCUGAGCUUUUAAUAAUACUGUCUCUGUGGCGUGGGAAAUGUUCUCACGGUGUCCUUGAAUGGACUUGCGCCUCAUCCAGUGUGCUUCUGAGAUGAGCUUCUGCUCCACCAUGACCUUGACCAGGAUAAAAUACUUGCUGAAGAUGAAUGAAUUAUCUACUGUAUUCCAAAUAGAUAUAGAAAGCUUCAAACGGUUGGCUGUAAUAGAAGCUGUAAUAGAUCUGUUUCACAGAGUCAUGUAGGAACACGUUGAGCCGUGGAGUGCGUGGAAGGAAGAUGCAAAUCGACCUGUGGCUUUUUGAACAAACUGCAGAGUGUAAUGAACUCUGGCUUUAGGCGUAGUCAAAGCUUUUUCUUUUAUUAUUAUUUAUUAGCUCUAUUUUAACAUACGUUUUAGAUUAUAUAAACGUGUGCUGAGGUUUGGGGGAAUUUACUUUACUUUAAUAAAACCACAAAAGAGAAAGCAUGAACUAAAGAAAGCUCAAAGAAUCAUUCAUUCUUUUUCAUUUUCUGUUUUAUUGUGGGUUGGGUUAGGUCCCAUUGGAACUGCACACACAUUCACUGACUCGGCUAAUCCAGCUACUGACAUGUUUUUUGAAAGGUCGAGGAAAUUGGGGAGCUCAGAGGAAACCCGUGUGAUCACAUGGAGAAACUCCAAACGGACAGGAACCGGAGACCCUGAGGAGCACAAGCACUAGCACGAUAAAGUACCUUACUGACACGAGAUAUGACCAUGAACUAACACUGGCACUGUUAUUAGAGACCGUUCUGAAACUAGAGACUGUUCAAUAGCCUGUAAGUAAAAAGCAGUUUUGUCUGUAACCGGAUGCUCCACUGCUGCCUGCCAGAUGAUAACCUGGACGACUGUUGCCAUUUGGUGAAUCUUCAUCAGGCAACGUUGACCAGUAAAUCACCUGAAUCCUGAAAGUUUGCUACUUGUGAGGAUCGCGGCUGUUCUCAACUGUCACACACAUGCUGGCACUUGGAUAGCGAGCUAAUCCCGAGCUUCAAAAUAGUCUGCAAAGUCCUCUUGAUAACAUAUUAAUAUAACAGUCCCUGCUGGAUUUUACAAUCGCAGAAAUUACCACAAAGCAACUUGCGUCUUGUCGUUUUGAAAAACCCCGUCAUAUGACGUCAUCACAGCGCAAAUUUAGCCAAAGCCCUCUUCUAAUCAUGAGUACAAACAUGAGUACAGCUAAAAGGUCUUAUUCACCAACAAACAUGACUGUGAAAGAACCAACUUUGCGCAAUUUUUGAAAGACGGAUUUCAAGAAUGAAUUAGCACUGUGGUAUGAUGCUGACUAGCAUUAACGUUACAUUAAACAAGUUAGAUGGUGUUGCAACACGCUGCUCUCUAUGAAGUGAAAUUUCUUAACGUGAACAUCUAGGUUGCAAAUAACGCCAUUAAAGGGAGCUAGCUGGUGAACGUUACGGAAAGUUUGCUGCAGCUAAAAUUUGAUUAGGUCGGUAGGAUUGUGAAGAAUGCUAAAUAAUGUAACUGUUAACCACUGUUUUAUUCUCUAGCGCCCGACCAACAGCCAGAUCCAGAACCGGACGCGAGUCUAAACGGAUGUUAUAGUGUUGUAUGGGUUGUGUUUGCAGUCCUUGAAUUCAUCAUCAUCAUCGCUGUUUUGAUUGGGUUGUACUGCUAUAAGAAGCAUACUUCUAAGGAAGAUGGCGGCUAUAGGAACGCUCCAGGGACCUCGCUGUCACUAUAGAGCAAUCCUUAAGUAGUGUACUGCUUAAGGCAACUGAGCACUUCUAUUAACUUAAAUGUAUUCCCUAUGCUAUUUAAUUUAGAAACAGAUUAUUUAUAUCGGUGAACAUUCAUCAAUACUCAAGAAGGCUACACAAUACAUGAAGAAACUUUUGAACAGGAUGAUUGGUAAAUGAUUUUUUUAACGCUCUUUUCUGUUCAGAUGCUAUAUGUUGAAAUGUUCAGGAAGGAUUAAGACAUUUCGAAGUUUGCUGUAAAAAUAGUCUGUCCAUAUUGGUGACUGUGCUUCGAGUACAGUAUUGAGGUGACAAAGAACACGGUACAGCAGUUUCCCAGUACUAAAGGGAGGGUGUGUUUUUAGCGUGUGAGGAAAUGAGUCUGCACUUGAUAAAGAGGGUGGUGGCACAUAGACAUCGGGGGACUUGAAUCGGAAACACAGCUUGUGACUGUUAAGGAAAAAGGAAGGCUCUGAAUAACCAGUCCUAUUGUUUUCUACAGCACACUGGUUUUUAACACUGUUCAUUUUUUAAAAUUAUUAUUUAUUUUUGCUUCAAUUUUACACAUUCCUUAAAAUUAAAAAGUCUGGAUAGAAUAGAUUUUUUUUUUUUUUUUUAAAUGAAUAAAUCUUUGACUUUUUAUUGUUUUGGGGACCCUGAGGUAUUGAGCACUGUAAUUCCACACUUGUAGCACUUAAACGUAUAUUCUGUUAACACUAACACUGUUUAUCCUCUAACUCCUCUAAGUGCAUCUUCCUUUACUGGCAUAAUUUAUUUAGUCCCGUUAUUAUCCGAGAGCAGCCAGGAAAUAUAAUGAAUCAUUCACAAAUAUAGGUCUUCUGUUAGUAGAUGCUGUGAAAUAUUAAAAUGCUCUGAUACUAAAUUAAAACGUGGUAUAAAAUGACCUUUGCACAGCGAUGAGUCUGAAAUGAUGUUUUUUUUUCUUUUGUGUGUCAAAAGCUGUCGUUUCUUACACGCCCGUAACUUCCAGUUUAACUAGUGUGAAAGUUCUAAAGUGCAAAUGUAAUGAAUAACCGUCUACUGUACUUCAGUUCUAACAUGUACACGAGUCUUAUAGUUGUGCCCAAAAGUUUGCAUACCCCUUGCGGAAUCUGCAAAAUCUUAUUUUACUUUUAAUAAAAUAAGAGGGAUCAUAAAAAUGUUUGUAAAUAAAUAAAUAACUACUAUCCUGAAUAAGCUAUUUCACAUAACAGAUGUUUGUAUGAAGUCCACAAGACAGAUUAUUCAGGAAAAUCCUCCAGGUCCUGCACCUCCUUUGCUUUUCCAGCAUCUUCUGCAUAUCUGACCCCUUUCCAGCGGCGGCUAUAUGAUAGUCAGAUCCAUCUUUUCACACCGAGGGACUCGUACACGACUAUUACAAAAGGUGCUAUUCACUAUUCACCGAUGCUCAAGAUGGUAACAGGAUACAUUAAGAGCCGGGGGGUGUGAAGUUUUGAACAGGAUGAUCAAGCUUAUUCAGGACAGUACUAAAUAAAAAAAAUAUUAAAAACAUGGGAUUUUUAUGAUUGCUCUUAUUUUGUUAACCGUGUUUACAAGUGUUAACAAGAUUUAGCAGAUUCUGCAGGGGGUAUGCAAACUUUUGGGCGGAACUGUAAGUGUUUCAAAGAAACAAAUGUCAUAAUUCAGUACACGUUCAUCUUUGUGAUGUAUUUUUACAUAUUUGUGAUGAAUAGAAGUGUACUGUAUCAAUGGAUAUGUCAAAUAUAUGGGUAAUAUUUUAUAGUAUAAAACUACAUGCUUUGUGAUCUUUCUUUAGUAUUAUUAUGAUUAUUAUCUUUUUUUUUUAACCAAUCUUAUACUGAAAGGCCCGGUGUGGCUGCAUUUUUUUUCAUGCCAAUCAAUCAGAAGCCACACCAUGGAUCACAGAUGGGAUAAGAUUCUCAUGCGGUGUGUUUUCCUUUCUCAUUUAAAACAAAAGGUUCUAUUUUGAUCUCGGCCGUCCAUCGAUCAUUCUUACAAUAGUCCUCUGCCUUUUCCACGUGGUCUUUAGCAAACUGCAGACGGGCAGCAACGUUCUUUUUGGACGGCUGCGUUUUUCUUGUAACCCUGCCAAGCACACUGAGCACAGGUUGGGCAAUAGUGGAGAGGGUAACCAUGGUCUCGAAUUUCCUCCAUGUGUAAACACAUCUGUCUGGCUGAUGGACUCUUUAGAGACGGUUUUGUAAACCGUGUAAACUUUUACACCCUGAUGUGCAACAUGUUUUAUUUUUUUCCCCUGAGGUCCUCAGAAUUCCCCUUUUUUCGUGCCAUGAUACAUUUCCAUGACCACAUGUUGUGAGGAUCAGACUUUAAUAGAUCCUCAUUCUUUAAAUAAAACUAGACACUCACCCACUCCUGACCUCGCAUGUUUUAAUUGGGUUCUCUCUGUCUACUUUUAGGACUUGUGUGAAAAUCUGAUGAUUGUUUUGGGUCGUAUUCAUGCAGAAAUAGAGAACAUUCUAAUAUGGGGUUAGAAAUGUUUCAUAAUUCCAAAUAAUUAGAUUACAAUCCACAAAUAAAUGUAGUGAGAUUUACAAAGAUUAAACAAAUCCACAAAUGCAUUGAAUGAGAUCCACAAAUAUGUUAGUAGUUUCACAAAAAUAAGUUAAAUUGAUCAAUUAAAUUUAUUUUUGUGGUGCAAAGGUUCCCCUCCUGAUUGUGAAACAAAACGUGAUUGGUCGGAGCGAGAACGUGCUACGAUUGGUCCGUGCGAUGUGGUGGUUAUCUGAUAGACAGUACUCGAAGUCCAGCUAUUUGUGGAUUUAUGUACACUCUUGACCCUAGAUAUGUUUUUAAAAAAUCCACAAACGCACAGGAAGCGAUCCACAAAUGACUGCAAAGCAGAGCUGUGUUUGUGACGUAUUUGUAAAUCUCAUUUUAUUUUUUGUCAAUUUAAUUUAUUUUUGUGAAACUACUAACAUAUUUGUGGAUAUCAUUCAGUGAAUUUGUUGAGUUUUAGUAAAUCUCACUACAUUUAUUUGUGGAUCGUAACCUAUUUAUUUUGGAAUUAUGAAACAAUUCUAACCCCAUCCUCAAAAGGGAGUCACAAACUUUCAAGCACCACUGUAACUGCUUAUCCAAACAAACACAAGAUCUCAGUAAGUCCUUGAGAACUUAGUCCCUAUCGUCACUCCUUAAAUACGAAACUGCAGGUGUAAAGACGUGUCGCAGAGCAAAAUACGUCACCGACUGUUUUAUAGUAGGGUUGUAUGCUGGGUCGGAAGGUUGCCAUGACAACCCUGACACUGUACUGUUUAGUUCGGAAGUACUGGGAUAACAGUAUUGUAUCGACAUUACAUUAGGCUAAUAUUGAAAUGAUAACGCCUAAAUGACACGACAUAGUGUUGGUCAUUACUUUUGGUAUCAGUUUGACGGGGAAAAAAAACCCAAAUUAAAACAAGCAUGCUGAUGAAGGAUCUGGCAACCGCGGGGAUGUGGGCGUGGCUUUGUUGCUCUGAGGUUUCAUCCCACCGCGCCUGUGAUUGUGUUCCACUCAAGCGGAAUUUGCCUCAGCAGGCUGUCUGAUUAUAUCUGAUUAUUGACAUGAUUAGACAUUCCUGCUUAAUUUGAUGCACUGUUAAUUUUUGAUAGUCGUUUGGACCUCCUUGGUCACUCCAGCCAGCAUGGACCUGGGAUCCCCCUGUUUCCUGGCCAGCAUCCUGUUACAAGCAUUUGUUCUCCCGAGCUGCCUCAGUGUUUCGGUUCGUUUCCCGAGCCAGCAGACCGUCUACGUGGUGACUGGGCAGAAUUUGGUCCUGCAGGCUGAGAUCGAGUUGUCCCAGGGGGAUCACGUCGCCAAGGUCACAUGGGAGCGUGAAGUCGAGGGAAAAAGGAAUUCUGGGAAAAGCGUGGUGGCUGAAUAUCCUGCUAAAAGCUCAGAAGGCCGGGUGAUCGUCGAGAAGGGCGGGUCUGUGAUGACGUUACGGGACUACCAGGGAACGGACAACGGCGUGUACACGGUCACCGUCCGAGACCAGAAAGGAGGUCAGAGUUCGGCACGCUGCACCGUCCACGAGUACGAGGCCGUGCACCAUGUGUCAGUGAUGGUGAACGUGUCGCACUCCAGCCUGCACUGCAUGGAAGCCUGGGGGACGGAGCCCGUCUUCCGUUGGCUCCACGAGAAAGUCGCGGUGACGGAGGCCGUGGGCCGCGUGUCAGCGGACGGCAGCUCUCUGUACCUGAACACGGCGCUGUGUGGCCACUUCACCUGCAUGGUGAGCAACAAGCUGGGCCACAGCUCGGCUACCUACACGGCAGAACCUUGUGAGAGAGAGAGCAGAGGAACCGCUGUAGCGGUUGUAUGUCUCGUGCUCUUGCUGCUCGUGGCUGGAGGUUUGACCUUCCUGCUCUGGAGGAAACGCACGAGUUACAGUAAUAGACGAGAGAGACUCCGGGAACCAGAUGAGGACAUUUAACCUCCACACUCAAGUCUGUGUGUCAGACUGAAACAUAAAUGGAAGAGACAAGAACUUAAGAUUGUUGCCUCUUCUCCAAGCACUUGGAUCAUUGCAAAACAUUCCAGAUAUGCUACCAGGGUUUUACUGGCUUUCAGUUACAGUCGGACAAGCCAAGGAGCGAAGAUCUCUCUUCCUUUUUUUUUUUUUUUUUUUUUUUUUAAAAAGGACCUUUACGAAGAAAAGAAAGCUGACGGUUUUGCAACUGUUUAAAUCUUCAGAAUAAGGAACAGCUUACUGUUAUUUCAUGUUUUUUUUUGUUUAGCUUGUUAUUAGUUGUGUUCGCAGUUCAUGUUAAGUUCUGUACAUGUACUGCAAUAAAAAAAGAGAAGACUUUUAAGGUAUUUCAAAGUCCAUGUUGUGUGACGAGUGAGUGAUGGAUGUGUUACGGCCCAGUCUAGGUUAGGCCGCACAGAGCAACCGGCUCGGGAUUCAAUGGAAUUUGACCUUUAAAUAAGGGAAGGCAGGAAUAACACAAAAUUAUAUACAUAUAACUGUACAAUGAACCAAAUCAGGCGUAACUUCAGGGUGGGCCAUGGCAAAUAAUGCUAUUGUUAGGUAGCUAGCUUACCGAAAAGGAAAAUAACAACGAAAAUACAAGGACUUCCCAAACUACCUAAGCCAAAAACAGAGACAAAGGACCCGCUCCCAAAAGAAAUGGCCACCACACCCCUACUGCCGGUGAACCAAGUGAACAUGUAUAUAAUGCUGAAUAGAAUGCACGAACAGGGACAGGGACGACCAAACUCGAAGUCCACAAACCAGGUAAAAGUCAAAAAACAGAAUUUGAUAGUCACAAGGGCGAGCAACACAAACCAAACAAUCUCCCAACAACAAAUCACACGUAACCACCUCCAACAUUCUCACUCCUCUUCCUCUUUAUACAUGGUCGUCAAUCAGUGAUGUCAUCCUGGGAGGCGGGAGCAAGGCACGCUAGGGAAGGCUGGAAACUCUGGGAGGGAGUUCAACCUGCAGACAAAAUAUGGCACAGCACACACACACACACAAAAAACAACUUCCCAUACCAAAGAUAGCGGGUUGUAACCAAUGGAUGUAGUGAUGAGGGAUGGAUUGAUGGUGUGAGGGAUGGAUGGAUGUAGUGAUGGAGUGAUGAGGGAUGGAUGGAUGGAUGAAGUGAGGAAUGGAUGGAUGUAGUGAUGAGGGAUGGAUUGAUAGUGUGAGGAAUGGAUGGAUGUAGUGAUGGAGUGAUGAGGGAUGGAUGGAUGUAGUGAUGGAGUGAUGAGGGAUGGAUUGAUGGUGUGAGGAAUGGAUGGAUGAAGUGAUGGAGUGAUGAGGGAUGGAUGGAUGAAGUGAGGAAUGGAUGGAUGUAGUGAUGGAGUGAUGAGGGAUGGAUGGAUGAAGUGAGGAAUGGAUGGAUGUAGUGAUGAGGGAUGGAUUGAUGUAGUGAUGUAGUGAUGGAUGGAUGGAUGAAGUGAGGA
ensembl:lncRNA